AUGCAUGUUAAAAAAAAAAAAAAAAAAAUUCUGCUCCUCUUUCCCUUAAGGAGCAUGAAUGUAUCCAUAACAUGCUAGAGGAAAAUAAGGAGUCUUCAGGGCUGCCAGUCUUGCAGUAAAGGCUGAGUGGUAGUAUGUCUCUCCUACAUAU